GAUGUGGGGGUGAGACAGGAGAAGAGGCAACUUUUGAAGAGCAAGCUGUGAAUCGGCUGAAGAUCCGGCGCUGACCCACAGCACCUCUCAGAAGAAGUAUCUGGGCGUGCGGGUGAAAAUGCCAGUGCGAGAACUGCUGAGGAAAAUACGUCUCUCCAAAGGGAUCAGUUUGAGCGAUACCAAGGAAAUACCUGUGCACGUGAAUAUGGACAAGGCAUCAGGAAAAACAGGUGAAUAAGGUGCGCUUUGGAGCACAAGGAACUUGGGAGCAAUGUCUGGUCUGGGACAUGUGCCAUCGUACCAGCUGUGGAGCGGUUGCUGGCGAUCCUGUACAGGGUCAGGAUUAGGGCGAAGGCUGGCUUUAG
rnacentral:lncRNA from 1 species